GAUGAACGCUAGCGGCAGGCCUAACACAUGCAAGUCGAGGGAGAAGCCCUUUCGGGGGCAGAAACCGGCGCACGGGUGCGUAACGCGUAUGCAACCUACCUUUCACAGGGGGAUAGCCCGAAGAAAUUUGGAUUAAUACCCCAUAAUAUUAUUGGAUGGCAUCAUUUGAUAAUUAAAACUGCGGUGGUGAAAGAUGGGCAUGCGUCCUAUUAGCUAGUUGGAGUGGUAACGGCACCCCAAGGCUACGAUAGGUAGGGGUCCUGAGAGGGAGAUCCCCCACACUGGUACUGAGACAGGGACCAGACUCCUACGGGAGGCAGCAGUGAGGAAUAUUGGUCAAUGGUCGGAAGACUGAACCAGCCAAGCCGCGUGCAGGAAGAAUGCCUUAUGGGUUGUAAACUGCUUUUAUAUGGGAAGAAUAAGGCGUACGUGUACGUUGAUGACGGUACCAUAUGAAUAAGCAUCGGCUAACUCCGUG
rnacentral:rRNA from 1 species